UUGACAUAAAGUUUGUAGACUUUCCUUCUCUUUGUUGUUAUUAUAGCAAAGACAAACUAAAACAGAAAAAUGUAUGUCAAGAUUUGUUUAAUAACAAACAUGCAAUUCUAGUCUUACACUUGAAAAUCAAUCUGUUAUAAAUGAGCAUUGGAGCAGAAAUGUGUAAUUUUAACGGGUCAACCUUGACCUUGCCAUGCGAGUUAAACCCAACUAAUAAAAUUACAAUAAAUCACCAAAAAAAUUGCACCGAGAUGUGUUACUCAACUUUGCUUAAAUAAAGAUUAGCCCAUCCCUUGACAAUGUUUGUUUUGAUAAGAUAACCGAUAGAACAAUGUGAAAUUAACUUUUUCCCAAAAACACCACUCAUAACCCCAUACUCACCCUCCUAUAACAGAAAAGGUCUUUUUGGAGUUUCUGGCGUUCGGCGGUGGGAUGCGGCCCUUUGGCCUUUAUAAACUUGAACAUUUCUCCUUAUUCUGUAAAAAAUAAAACGCCUUUUAUUUAUUUCUUCCAUUA